UCUUUUUAGGUCUUAUUCUCAGAUGGUCUUGGGUAAAUGGUGGCUGAUUGCCUUCAGCAUCUAGAACAAAACACUCUAUGGCCCAGAGGAAUUCCAGCUGGCCUCUAUGAUCUUAUUCUCUUGAGGAAUGGACCACGCAGUAUCCCUCAAGAAAGAAUCAAGAAUGUUUCCACAGGGAAUAUACAUAUUUCAUCUCUUUCUCUGCUGAAUGGAUGCCCACUGAAAGCCAUGAAUUAGUCUUAUUAGACCCUGUAGAAUCCCAGUUUAUGGCAGUGACAUUAAAAACAUCUAGUUUAUGACUUGGAUUAGGCAGCCUGUAAAAUGGCUUCCAGUGAUCGCUGCUUU
rnacentral:lncRNA from 1 species